ensembl:misc_RNA Metazoa_SRP Metazoan signal recognition particle RNA
GCUGGGCACAGUGGUGCCUGUAGUCCCGGCUACUCAGGAGGCUAAGGCUGGAGGAUCACUUGAGUCCAGGAGUCCUGGGCUGUAGUGCGCUAUGCCGAUUGGGUGUCUGCACUAAGUUCGGCAUCAAUAUGGUGACCUCCUGGGAGUAGGGGACCACCAGGUUGCCUAGGGAGGGGUGAACUGGUCUAGGUCAGAAACGAAACAGGUCAAAACUCCUGUGCUGAUCAGUAGUGGGAUCGUGCCUGUGAAUAGCUACUGCACUCCAGCCUGGCAACAUAGUGAGGCCCCGUCUCU